rnacentral:rRNA from 1 species
UACGUAGGGCGCAAGCGUUGUCCGAAAUUAUUGGGCGUAAAGAGCUCGUAGGCGGCCUGUUACGUCUGCUGUGAAAUCCCGGGGCUUAACCCCGGGCGUGCAGUGGAUACGGGCAGGCUGGAGGCAGGCAGGGGAGAACGGAAUUCCCGGUGUAGCGGUGAAAUGCGCAGAUAUCGGGAGGAACACCGGUGGCGAAGGCGGUUCUCUGGGCCUGUACUGACGCUGAGGAGCGAAAGCGUGGGGAGCGAACAGG